GACAGCCUGUCAUAGUUUGCCUAGUAAAUGAUUUCCUUUCGGUGUGUUGACAUCAAAUCUCCAGGGAUGUCACUCACUCCCCCCUUCCGGGCAGGAUUUCAUGCAUCUUCGUCCAUGAAUGGCUCCGGUGACGAGUCGCAAUCCGAUUCCUAGAUGGUGCUAGCUUGAUCUGCACUUGUUGCUCAGGCAUGCCUGCCUGUUUCCCCAUCCUAUGCAUAGUGAUAGUGCGUCUGCACUGGGAGUGGGAGUUGGUUUGAGCCCUGGGCUGCAAGUUGGAUGAUCUUGAGAGCCUGCACGUAGGCUUCUGCUGAUGGAAGCCACCACUUCGCCUGCUCUGGGUCUCAUGAUCGGUAGUGAGCGACUACACACGCCAAAGGCGAACUGGAGAAGCCAUGCAGUGGGAGCUGUCCGCUUCAUGGGAAGAAAGGAAAAGGUGACCCUUCAUGUUAUGUCCCUGUAGCUACAUUCUUGUAAAGUGGGCUACAGUGCCCUGGAAUCUGAUAUCUGAAUCCCCGGCCGCUGUCAGCUGCAGCACCUGUGGAUUAGCUUGCAAGUGUCUGAGUCACUUCAGCAUUCAGAAAAGCAAGCCAGUUUUGUUAUCAAGGUGGCAUGCUGGAUUGCUGCAGAUCAGUCUCCCUGUGUGGUGUGCCUUUGUCUUUGCUGCUCUGCCAAGCCAGAUGGUUGUAGAACUCCUGGACUUCAGCAUGGAUUGUAGUCAGAGGAGCUUAAGCAGAUAAGCACAGGUUUUAUAGUGCAAUUCCUAUGCCAUGAACUGUAACUGGUAACAGCAGCUUGCACGUGUGCAGGAGAUACCAGGUUGCCCCCUGAAGCUUCAAGUUCAGGCAUUACCUAGAUCUGGGGCGACCGCUGAUGAAUAGCGGAUGGACACCGUUGUGAUGGCCCAUGAAUCCAUGAUCUUGUAGCAUGGAGUAUUCGGUAUGGUGGACACCGUUUGGUGAGAUGGGUUUGGAAAGGAAAGGCACAUGGAUAUGGUUGGGCAGGAUCGAGGAGUGAAGGUUGAGGCUGUUGAUCUUUGCUUCUUUGUAUUCAGACAGAGCCACAAAGUGUCGUCGUUAGGUGCUGGUUUGAAGAUGAAGCAGGGCAGGGAAUAAGGUUCUUUUGCCCCCUCCCCUUUUCACUUUGGGCAUGACUGAAAACUGAAAAAAGGUUCAAGCACAUCAGCGAAUCAACUGAAGAAUGGAUCAUCAAUCAUUCCAGGAAUAUAAUGCGAGAUCUCGCUCGCUAAUGCUCGCGUCCACGACCUACUACCUAGCAGAGGUAGUACUACUAGCUGGCCUGGUAUGCAUGGGCACACAAGAAAAAAGAAAGGAAGCGAGACGCCCGAGCUCCCGGGCAACUGCCAUGGAGGCAACGGCAGCGGCGUCGACGCAUGCAGCGAGCGAGCGCCGGUUGCUCGCCGCCGUGAUGAUUGCAUGUCGAGAAUCCGAGCCCUUUUCUUCCCCCCCCGGUGCGCCAUGCACGAGUUGGGCCGUUAACGCGCAUGAUCGCCCGUGUAGGCCACACCGACGCAUGAUGCCAUCCUGAUGCCAAAACUUUGUCAUAACUCGGAAAGAUUACGCUAAUUAAUACUAAAAUCGCUUGGGUUUGUUUAA